rnacentral:rRNA from 1 species
GUCUAUGGCCAUGCCACCCUAAACAUGCCUGAUCUCGUCUGAUCUUGGAAGCUAAGCAGGGUCGGGCCUGGUUAGGACUUGGAUGGGAGACCACCUAGGAAGACCAGGUGCUAUAGGCA